rnacentral:rRNA from 1 species
GGUUAAGCGACUAAGCGUACACGGUGGAUGCCCUGGCAGUCAGAGGCGAUGAAGGACGUACUAAUCUGCGAAAAGCGUCGGUAAGGUGAUAUGAACCGUUAUAACCGGCGAUGUCCGAAUGGGGAAACCCAGUGCAAUUCGUUGCACUAUCGUUAACUGAAUACAUAGGUUAACGAGGCGAACCGGGGGAACUGAAACAUCUAAGUACCCCGAGGAAAAGAAAUCAACCGAGAUUCCCCCAGUAGCGGCGAGCGAACGGGGAGCAGCCCAGAGUCUGAAUCAGCUUGUGUGUUAGUGGAACGGUCUGGAAAGUCCGACGGUACAGGGUGAUAGUCCCGUACACCAAAAUGCACAGGCUGUGAACUCGAAGAGUAGGGCGGGACACGUGGUAUCCUGUCUGAAUAUGGGGGGACCAUCCUCCAAGGCUAAAUACUCCUGACUGACCGAUAGUGAACCAGUACCGUGAGGGAAAGGCGAAAAGAACCCCGGCGAGGGGAGUGAAAAAGAACCUGAAACCGUGUACGUACAAGCAGUGGGAGCACCUUCGGGUGUGACUGCGUACCUUUUGUAUAAUGGGUCAGCGACUUAUAUUCUGUAGCAAGGUUAACCGUAUAGGGGAGCCGCAGGGAAACCGAGUCUUAACUGGGCGUUAAGUUGCAGGGUAUAGACCCGAAACCCGGUGAUCUAGCCAUGGGCAGGUUGAAGGUUGGGUAACACUAACUGGAGGACCGAACCGACUAAUGUUGAAAAAUUAGCGGAUGACUUGUGGCUGGGGGUGAAAGGCCAAUCAAACCGGGAGAUAGCUGGUUCUCCCCGAAAGCUAUUUAGGUAGCGCCUCGUGAACUCAUCUUCGGGGGUAGAGCACUGUUUCGGCUAGGGGGUCAUCCCGACUUACCAACCCGAUGCAAACUACGAAUACCGAAGAAUGUUAUCACGGGAGACACACGGCGGGUGCUAACGUCCGUCGUGAAGAGGGAAACAACCCAGACCGCCAGCUAAGGUCCCAAAGUCAUGGUUAAGUGGGAAACGAUGUGGGAAGGCACAGACAGCCAGGAUGUUGGCUUAGAAGCAGCCAUCAUUUAAAGAAAGCGUAAUAGCUCACUGGUCGAGUCGGCCUGCGCGGAAGAUGUAACGGGGCUAAACCAUGCACCGAAGCUGCGGCAGCGACACUAUGUGUUGUUGGGUAGGGGAGCGUUCUGUAAGCCUGCGAAGGUGACCUGUGAGGGUUGCUGGAGGUAUCAGAAGUGCGAAUGCUGACAUAAGUAACGAUAAAGCGGGUGAAAAGCCCGCUCGCCGGAAGACCAAGGGUUCCUGUCCAACGUUAAUCGGGGCAGGGUGAGUCGACCCCUAAGGCGAGGCCGAAAGGCGUAGUCGAUGGGAAACAGGUUAAUAUUCCUGUACUUGGUGUUACUGCGAAGGGGGGACGGAGAAGGCUAUGUUAGCCGGGCGACGGUUGUCCCGGUUUAAGCAUGUAGGCUGGUUAUCCAGGCAAAUCCGGAUAAUCAAGGCUGAGGUGUGAUGACGAGGCACUACGGUGCUGAAGUAACAAAUGCCCUGCUUCCAGGAAAAGCCUCUAAGCAUCAGGUAACAUCAAAUCGUACCCCAAACCGACACAGGUGGUCAGGUAGAGAAUACCAAGGCGCUUGAGAGAACUCGGGUGAAGGAACUAGGCAAAAUGGUGCCGUAACUUCGGGAGAAGGCACGCUGGUGUGUAGGUGAAGUCCCUGCGGAUGGAGCUGAGACCAGUCGAAGAUACCAGCUGGCUGCAACUGUUUAUUAAAAACACAGCACUGUGCAAACACGAAAGUGGACGUAUACGGUGUGACGCCUGCCCGGUGCCGGAAGGUUAAUUGAUGGGGUUAUCCGUAAGGAGAAGCUCUUGAUCGAAGCCCCGGUAAACGGCGGCCGUAACUAUAACGGUCCUAAGGUAGCGAAAUUCCUUGUCGGGUAAGUUCCGACCUGCACGAAUGGCGUAAUGAUGGCCAGGCUGUCUCCACCCGAGACUCAGUGAAAUUGAACUCGCUGUGAAGAUGCAGUGUACCCGCGGCAAGACGGAAAGACCCCGUGAACCUUUACUAUAGCUUGACACUGAACAUUGAGCCUUGAUGUGUAGGAUAGGUGGGAGGCUUUGAAGCGUGGACGCCAGUCUGCGUGGAGCCAACCUUGAAAUACCACCCUUUAAUGUUUGAUGUUCUAACGUUGGCCCCUGACCGGGGUUGCGGACAGUGUCUGGUGGGUAGUUUGACUGGGGCGGUCUCCUCCCAAAGCGUAACGGAGGAGCACGAAGGUUAGCUAAUCCUGGUCGGACAUCAGGAGGUUAGUGCAAUGGCAUAAGCUAGCUUGACUGCGAGCGUGACGGCGCGAGCAGGUGCGAAAGCAGGUCAUAGUGAUCCGGUGGUUCUGAAUGGAAGGGCCAUCGCUCAACGGAUAAAAGGUACUCCGGGGAUAACAGGCUGAUACCGCCCAAGAGUUCAUAUCGACGGCGGUGUUUGGCACCUCGAUGUCGGCUCAUCACAUCCUGGGGCUGAAGUAGGUCCCAAGGGUAUGGCUGUUCGCCAUUUAAAGUGGUACGCGAGCUGGGUUUAGAACGUCGUGAGACAGUUCGGUCCCUAUCUGCCGUGGGCGCUGGAGAAUUGAGGGGGGCUGCUCCUAGUACGAGAGGACCGGAGUGGACGCAUCACUGGUGUUCGGGUUGUCAUGCCAAUGGCACUGCCCGGUAGCUAAAUGCGGAAGAGAUAAGUGCUGAAAGCAUCUAAGCACGAAACUUGCCCCGAGAUGAGUUCUCCCUGAGACUUUAAGUCUCCUGAAGGAACGUUAAAGACGAUGACGUUGAUAGGCCGGGUGUGUAAGCGCAGCGAUGCGUUGAGCUAACCGGUACUAAUGAACCGUGAGGCUUAACCUU